CCUACGGGUGGCAGCAGAGAGGAAUAUUGGGCAAUGGACGCAAGUCUGAACCAGCCAGGCCGCGGGCAGGAAGAAGGCUCGAGGAGGUGUAAACUGCUGGUGUACGAGGGGAAACGCAGAUACGCGGAUCUGUCUGAAAGUAUCGUACGAAUAAGGAUCGGCUAACGCCGUGCCAGCAGCCGCGGUAAUACGGAGGAUUCAAGCGUUAUCCGGAUUGAUUGGGUUUAAAGGGUGCGUAGGCGGUCGGAUAAGUUAGAGGUGAAAUCCCGAGGCUCAACGUCGGAAUUGCCUCUGAUACUGUUCGGCUAGAGCGUAGUUGCGGUAGGCGGAAUGUUUGGUGUAGCGG
rnacentral:rRNA from 1 species